CUUCUCCUGCAGCCGCGUUGAUAAGUCACUUUAGACUUGCUCAGAGAAUUCUCUAUUUCGCGAAAUAUUCCACUGUUCGCUUAGUAUUUCACUUUGUAAUUGUAAUCCCUAUUACGUUGUUCAGUUAUUAAAUAACUUUUGAUUUUUGAAUUUAAACGAAUUGACUCAUUCGUGUCCUCGUUUCCGGCCGGGACGAGAACAAAGGAUUGAGUCCUCCCUCGAGAGCUUCCGAAACCUUAACAGUUGGCGCCCAACGUGGGGCUCUCGUUGGGGGAAGGCGUUGCUGAGAGGUUUGACUGCAGGUACCACGGGUACAAACAAGGAAGUGAAUUUGAACAAGAGGGAACAGAACCAAAACAGCAAGAACAAAGAAGGGAUUUCUCCUUCUAAGAAAGCAACAUUCGUGAACAUCAGGAGUCAGGACAAAUGAUGACUUUGUUGGGAGUUUAGCUCCCAGUAGGAGAAACAACAGGCAGAUGCUGAGAUGGGAGUGAAUUAGGGACGAGGAUAGAUUACAAAGGGGAUGCAGAGGUUGAAAGGUGAUGGCGACUCAUGGUCGAGGAGGGAGUGAGCAGACCUCCCUAAAACAACAACUGAUAAGAGGAGGAAUCCUGGGGAAGUGUCGGAGCCAUAAAAUCCAUCCACAGGUUGUAUUUCAUCUCAGAGUCACCCAACAGGUUUAAGAAUCACUCACGGUUGGUAUGGGGGGAAU
ensembl:lncRNA